AGUAUACUGCCUCCGUCUGGAAAUACUUGUCCUCAAAAUGGAUAAAAUGAAUGUAUCUAUAACUAAAAUAAGUCUAGAUACAACCAUUUCGAGGACAAGUAUUUUCAGACGGGGGGAGUACUAU
rfam:Triticum aestivum genome assembly, contig: Triticum_aestivum_CS42_TGACv1_scaffold_330265_4BS